rnacentral:rRNA from 1 species
UACGAACUGUGCGAACGUUAUUCGGAAUCACUGGGCUUACAGGGUGCGUAGGCGGCUCAACAAGUCAGGUGUGAAAGCCCCCGGCUCAACCGGGGAACUGCGCUUGAAACUGUUAGGCUCGAGUCAGCUAGAGGUACACGGAACUUCCAGUGGAGCGGUGAAAUGUGUUGAUAUUGGAAGGAAGCACCGGAGGCGAAAGCGGUGUACUGGGGCUGUCUGACGCUGGAGGCACGAAAGCCAGGGGAGCGAACGG